UGUGAGAGGUAUCUUAUUCUGAAUACAUAGGGAUAAGAAGCGAACUCAGGGAACUGAAACAUCUAAGUACCUGAAGGAAUGGACAUCAAUUGAGACUCCGUUAGUAGCGGCGAGCGAACGCGGACCAGGCCAGUAUUUCAUUGUGCGUCAGCGGAACGUUCUGGAAAGUUCGGCCACAGCGGGUGAUAGCCCCGUACGCGAAAACAAACUUUGAAAUCUCGAGUAGGGCGGGACACGUGAAAUCCUGUCUGAACAUGGGGGGACCACCCUCCAAGCCUAAGUACUCCUUACCGACCGAUAGCGAACCAGUACCGUGAGGGAAAGGUGAAAAGCACCCCGACGAGGGGAGUGAAACAGACCCUGAAACCGGACGCCUACAAGCAGUCGGAGCCGCCUUGCGCGGUGACGGCGUACCUUUUGUAUAAUGGGUCAGCGACUUCGUCUCUCUAGCAAGCUUAAACCGAUAGGUGUAGGCGCAGCGAAAGCGAGUCUGAAUAGGGCGACAUAGUUAGAGGGAUGAGACCCGAAACCGAGUGAUCUAGCCAUGUGCAGGUUGAAGGUGCGGUAACACGCACUGGAGGACCGAACCCACGUAUGUUGAAAAAUGCGGGGAUGACGUGUGGCUAGGGGUGAAAGGCCAAUCAAACUCGGAAAUAGCUGGUUCUCCGCGAAAUCUAUUUAGGUAGAGCGUCAUCCGAAUACCCCGGGGGGUAGAGCACUGGAUGGGUAAUGGGGCCCCACAGGCUUACUGAUCCUAACCAAACUCCGAAUACCCGGGAGUACUAGAUGGCAGACACACGGCGGAUGCUAACGUCCGUCGUGGAGAGGGAAACAACCCUGACCUCCAGCUAAGGCCCCUAAUUCAUGGCUAAGUGGGAAAGCAGGUGAGACGACCAAAACAACCAGGAGGUUGGCUUAGAAGCAGCCAUCCUUUAAAGAAAGCGUAACAGCUCACUGGUCAAGCGCUCCUGCGCGGAAAAUGUAACGGGGCUUAAGUGAUACACCGAAGCUGCGGGCUCGAAAGAGCGGUAGCGGAGCGUUCUGUAGGUCUGUGAAGGGCAGGUGCGAGCCUGCCUGGAGAUAUCAGAAGUGAGAAUGCUGACAUGAGUAGCGAUAAAGGGGGUGAGAGACCCCCUCGCCGAAAGUCCAAGGGUUCCUGCGCAAUGCUAAUCAGCGCAGGGUAAGCCGGCCCCUAAGGCGAGGCCGAAAGGCGUAGUCGAUGGGAACCAGGUUAAUAUUCCUGGGCCAGCGGGUAGUGACGGAUGCCGGACUUUGUUCAUCCUUAAUGGAUUGGGUGGGCAAUAAAGGUGUCCCUGGAAAUAGCUCCCGCAUUAGACCGUACCCCAAACCGACACAGGUGGACUGGUAGAGAAUACCAAGGCGCUUGAGAGAACGAUGUUGAAGGAACUCGGCAAAAUACCUCCGUAAGUUCGCGAGAAGGAGGCC
rnacentral:rRNA from 12 species